CACCUCCAUCGUGAGUAUCGCAGACGCAAUAGAUUUUCAAUUGUUAUGCGGCAGCCGGCUCCCGCUUGGGGGUUGAUGGGAUAAACUACGUUGC